CACGGGUUCCCCAGCUCCCCAAGAGCCCCCAAUGAAAGGAUUCAGCAGCGCUGCUUCUAUUAUUAUCCCGUAAAUCUUUUUAAAUUCUGGAACUAAUUAUAUAGAGGAUAUGUCUCAAUUUGUUCUGCAUUAAUGCCACAGUGGGGAUGGAGACCAGGCCGUGGCCAGAGCAGAUAUGGAAGCCCAUGAAAUUGAUGAACUGAGAGUUGCUUCCAGUCCAGAGCGCACCAUCUGGAAUUCCAGUCUGAGGUUACAAUUAGAACUCCUGACCCCAGAUUCAACUUUGCAAACAAG
ensembl:misc_RNA predicted gene, 27538